rnacentral:rRNA from 1 species
UACAGAGGGGGCAAGCGUUAUUCGGAAUUAUUGGGCGUAAAGGGCGCGUAGGCGGCUUUGCAAGUGGCGGGUGAAAUCCCUCGGCUUAACCGAGGAACUGCCUGUCAAACUGCAUGGCUUGAGACCAGGAGAGGUGAGUGGAAUUCCCAGUGUAGCGGUGAAAUGCGUAGAUAUCAGGAGGAACACCUGCGGUGUAGACGGCUUACUGGACCAUAACUGACGCUGAGGCACGAAAGCGUGGGUAGCAAACAGG